GAACACAAAAUGGCGACACGUGGUUAGCAUUCGUCGCCAACGAGAAAUUGGGGUCGGCCCGAAAGCUCUAGAAUGCACCCCUCUUCCUCCCCGGGGCCUUCCACCUCCGCGAGUUUUAUGACUUAAAAAAGCCCACAGGCUGGUCUGAAGAGGAAGACAAACAUAAAGAUGAAGUGCUUAAUUCAAGGUCACACAAUGUCGGGGAUGGACCUCCAGAUUUCCUUACUGGUGAGACGUGGUCUUGUAACACAGUGGUUAAGAAUGUGACUUUGGAGCCAGCCUGCUAGGGGCUGAAUUCUGACUCAGCCAUUUACUAACUGUGUGACCUUAGGUGGGUUCCCAAGCCUGUAAAAUGUAAGCCUUAUGCUGCUGAGGGCCAUCUUGCCACCCUGAGGGAAACGCUGCCUGAGAAUGAAACAAGCAUAAGUAAAAGCUGAGCUGUGAGAUGGAGCAAGAUGAAGGCCACAUGACAUCUUUGGAGCACCUGGAUCUAACUGUGCCUUAAGCUAGUCUAACCCUGAACAUUUCAUCAUUUCAUUGACAUGAGCCCAGGUUUUCUUUUUUUUUGGAUGGAGUCUUGCUCUGUCGCCCAGGCUGGAGUGCAGUAGCUCAAUCUCGGCUCACUGCAAGCUCCACCUCCCGGGUUCACGCCAUUCUCCUGCCUUAGCCUCCCAAGUAGCUGGGACAACAGGCGCCCACCACCACUCCCAGCUAAUUUUUUGUAUUUUUAGUAGAGACGGGGUUUUACCAUGUUAGCCGGGAUGGUCUUGAUCUCCUGACCUCAUGAUCCGCCCGCCUCGGCCUCCCAAAGUGCUGGGAUUACAGGUGUGAGCCACUGCACCCAGCCCUCAGGUUUUCCCUUUUUUUACCCCUCCUUUUGAAAAUUUGAUGUGGAAUUUUGCCACCUGCAGCCAGAAGAGUUUUAACUAAUCAGUGCCAUAAAUUUUAUAUAGUUCUCCUUGCAAAAUGUGGAUCAGCCUUUCUCAGCAAAUCCUUUGUCAUAAAGUGCUGAAUUGUAAGUUUGUCAUGAGAAUCACAUGAGAUCAUGCAUGUGAAGAACCUGGCAUUAUCCUCCUCAUAGAAAAAAACCAGUAAAUAUUAACUACAGGAAGCAAGGAAGGAGUGGGGUGAGGGGAAGAAGAAGGGGUACUGAUUUAAAAGAACCCUGGAGUCCUAAGGAUAAUCUAGGAACCCUCAGACCCAAUCCGAUACCCCUAUUCUAAAUGCUCCUAGUGCCCUGUACCUUCCCCUCAUAAGCCUUCAUUAUCAUUGUAAUGAUAUGUUUAUGUAAUAUUUUGAUUAAUGUCUCUCCUUCACUGACCUAGCAGUUCUAGCAGGGCAGUGAUUUUGCUGUGUUGCAUCCCCAGCACCUAGUCUGGUAUGUGGCAUUCAGCAUAUGUUUAUUGAAUGAAUGGCCAUGUGGUUAUUCAGAUCCUCCUUGAUUAUUGGGGUUAGGAUUGUGGCAGAAGUGGCAAAAUCAGGGAGAGUAGUCCCUGUCCCCUCUGUAUCUUAUACACUGCCCACACUCCCAACACACAUACACAUACAGAGAAUUUUGUCUCAAUUAGAUAAUUAACUUCUGCUUGGUUGUAAACCAAACCACUGGUUCUUAAACUUUCAUUGGAUCAUUUUAUUGAAGAAUUAAAUAGUGUGGUUCUGGCCUAAUGUCUGGAAAGCCUUGCAGAGGAGUGGAUUAGGUCUUUGUGAUAAACAGGCAGCCUUCCCUGCUCCUGUGUCUUUAUAAAAUCUAUUUAACUGGAGUAGUCCACCCUCCCUCAGGCUCUUACAGGAAUAUGUUGGAGGCUGUAGGAAGGUGGGAAACCGAGAGGGAAAGGACUGGGCCGCUGGAGACUUCACUCAUUCCCUAGCAAGAAACAAAAGCAGUAAAAGGUGGCCCGAGGACAACCUGAAGCUCACUCCUUCAGCACUUUUGGCUGGAGGUCACUUGUUGGAGCCCCACUCAGAGCUCAGCACACCACCCCACCAGCAGCCUCCUCCUCCCAGCUGAGGCUGCAUUUCAUCCCUUCCCCCAGCCUGCUUUCCCUGAGAUAGGGGAGUGUUUCCCAGGGCCCAUGUGACUUCCACUGGCAAGUGACGAUUACCAAUGGUUUACUAGUCAGUGAAACUACCAAAGGCUUUUGUGCUGUAGUAAUCCUUUUCCUGUUUAAAACUCUGGGGAUUUUCUAAUGUUGCCAAUAGUUUUUCAAGUCAGCAAUUACUGUGUGGAUUAUGUAAUGGCUCG
rnacentral:lncRNA from 1 species